UAGACAGCGGCAACUCCAAACCCGGUGCCGCGCCCCUCCCACCUAGCGCGCGCAGCCUACGCCAGCCCCGCGGGGCUUGCUGGAGGGCGGGCCCCCCAGCCAAUCACCGCUCCCACUUGGGCGGAUUGACGGUGGACGCCCGGGGCCGGUUGCGGGCAAAGGGGAGGGGCCUCCGGGUGCUGACCAGCCAAUUGAGGCCGCCCGGAAGUACUGCCGGGGCGCUUCUAAGAUGUGGGAACCGACAUCUGUGACUAGCCGGGGGCUAUCCAGCUAGCGACAGCUGGGGUCUGCAUGUCGGCAGCUUCCAGCCCCGCUGGGGUCUACUGCUGCAACCGUGCAAGAUGCUCAACAAAUCUGCCUGGAAAUAAAAGAAAUGAGGCAGAGAAAAUCUAAUGAUUAUUUAAAGGAAGAGGAAAUUUUGGACACAGAUACCUACAGAGGAAAGAUCAUGUGAAAACAUAAAGAGAAGACAACCAUUUACAAACCAAGAAGGGAGGCCUCAGUAAGAAUCAUCCUGGCUGACACCUUAUCUUGGACUUCCAGCCUCCAGAGUUAUAAAACAGUAGAUUUCUAUUGCUUAAGCCCCUCCCCUUUCAUUUUGUGGUGAUUUUUUAUGGCAGUCCU